rnacentral:pre_miRNA from 1 species
UUCAGCAGUGCUAAAGUGCUUAUAGUGCAGGUAGUAUUUCUGUCAUCUACUGCAGUGUGAGCACUUGAAGUACUUCUAG